rnacentral:rRNA from 1 species
UGCUGAUGAAUUGGGAUCUGUCAGCCUUAGGAUGAGACUGCGCCGGAUUAUGGUAGUUGGCGUGGUAAUGGCACACCAAGCCGAUAAUCCGUAGGGGCCAUGGGAGUGGUGGCCCCCAGAAGGGCACUGAGACAAGGGCCCUAGUCCUACGGGAUGCAGCAGGCGCGGAAAUUCUGCAAUGCGCGAAAGCGUGACAGGGGAAGUCUGAGUGGCGGAAACAAAGUUUCCGUCUUUUGCCAAGUGUAAAUAACUUGGAGAAUAAGGGUGUGGGCAAGACUGGUGGCAGCCGCCGCGGUAACACCAGCGCCUCGAGUGGUACCCACGAAUAUUGGGCCUAGAGCGUCCGUAGCCGGGUCUGUUAGUCCGCUGUGAAAUAUUGGGGCUCAACCCCAAUGCGUGCAGUGGAUACUGCAGGUCUUGGGAACGGGGGAGGGUCGGAGUACAUCCAGGGUAGGGGUAAAAUCCGUUGAGCCUGGGUGGACUACCAGUGGCGAAGGCGCCGACCCAAAACGUGUCCGACGGUGAGGGACGAAAGCUGGGGGAGCGAACGGGAUUAGAUACCCCGGUAGUCCCAGCUGUAAAUGAUGCAGACUUUGGUGUUGCCCAUAAGUAAUUAUGGGCAGUGCUGUAGCGUAGGUGUUAAGUCUGCCGCCUGGGGAGUACGAUCGCAAGAUUGAAACUUAAAGGAAUUGGCGGGGAGCACCACAAGCCGUGGAUGCUACGGUUUAAUUGGAUACAACGCCGGGAAUAUCACCAGAAGCGACGGCAGGAUGAAGGCCAGACUAAAGAUCUUGCCUAACGAGCCGAGAGGUAUUGCAUGGCCAUCGUCAGCUCGUGGUGUGAAAACUUUUUAGGAAAAAGUUUUAUCAAAAACUUACUCUAAAAGGUUGCACAGACUGUCCUGUUAAGUCAGGCAACGAGCGAGACUCAUGCGUUUAGUUACUAACUUCUUCUCCGGAAGAGGUGGACUCUAAACGGACUGCCCGUGCUAAAUGGGAGGAAGGAGUGGGCGACGGUAGGUCAGUAUGGUCCGAAACUUCUGGGCUACACGCGGCAUACAGUGGAUGGAACAAUGGGCAGCAACUCCGAAAGGAGGAGCAAAUCCUCUAAAUCCAUCCGUGGUUCGGAUCGAGGGUUGCAACUCAUCCUCGUGAAGAUGGAAUGGCUAGUAAUCGCGUGUCACCAACGCGCGGUGAAUGUGUCCCCGCUCCUUGCACACACCGCCCGUCAAGUCACCCAAAUGUUUUUUCGGUGAGACCCUGGUCUGUGCCAGGUUCGAACCGGG